UGGGGAAUCUUCCGCAAUGGACGAAAGUCUGACGGAGCAACGCCGCGUGAGUGAAGAAGGUUUUCGGAUCGUAAAACUCUGUCUUUUGGGGCGAACGUGAGUAUGGUGAACAAUCAUAGUCAGUGACGGUACCAAAGGAGGAAGCCACGGCUAACUACGUGCCAGCAGCCGCGGUAAUACGUAGGUGGCAAGCGUUGUCCGGAAUUAUUGGGCGUAAAGAGCGCGUAGGCGGGAUAGUCAGUCUGUUGUAAAAGUGCGGGGCUCAACCCCGUGAUGGCAAUGGAAACAGCUAUUCUUGAGUGCAGGAGAGGAAAGUGGAAUUCCCAGUGUAGCGGUGAAAUGCGUAGAUAUUGGGAGGAACACCAGUGGCGAAGGCGACUUUCUGGACUGUGUCUGACGCUGAGGCGCGAAAGCCAGGGGAGCGAACGGGAUUAGAUACCCCGGUAGUCCUGGCCGUAAACGAUGGGUACUAGGUGUGGGAGGUAUCGACCCCUUCCGUGCCGGAGUUAACGCAAUAAGUACCCCGCCUGGGGAGUACGGUCGCAAGACUGAAACUCAAAGGAAUUGACGGGGUCAUAGCUGUUU
rnacentral:rRNA from 1 species